ensembl:lncRNA
GUGUGUGUGUGAGAGUGUGAGAGUGUGUGAGAGUGUGUGUGAGUGUGUGUGAGAGUGUGUGUGUGUGUGAGAGUGUGAGAGUGUGUGUGAGUGUGUGUGAGUGUGUGUGAGUGUGUGUGAGAGUGUGUGUGUGUGAGUGUGUGUGUGUGUGUGUGUGAGAGAGUGUGUGAGAGAGUGUGUGUGAGUGUGUGUGUGAGUGUGUGUGAGAGUGUGUGUGAGUGUGUGAGAGAGUGUGUGAGAGAGUGUGUGUGAGUGUGUGUGAGAGUGUGUGAGUGUGUGUGAGUGUGUGUGUGUGUGUGUGUGUGAGAGUGUGUGUGAGAGUGUGUGUGUGAGAGUGUGUGUGAGAGUGUGUGAGAUGUGUUGUGAGUGUGUGUGAGAGUGUGUGUGAGAGUGUGUGUGUGAGAGUGUGUGUGAGAGUGUGUGUGAGAGUGUGUGAGAGUGUGUGAGUGUGUGAGAGUGUGUGAGAGUGUGUGAGAGUGUGUGUGAGAGAGUGUGAGAGAGUGUGUGAGAGAGUGUGUGUGUGAGUGUGUUUGAGAGUGUGUGUGAGAGUGUGUGAGAGAGUGUGUGUGAGAGUGUGUGAGAGAGUGUGUGUGAGAGUGUGUGUGAGAGUGUGUGAGAGUGUGUGUGAGAGUGUGUGAGAGUGUGUGUGAG